rnacentral:rRNA from 1 species
UACGUAGGGUGCAAGCGUUGUCCGGAAUUAUUGGGCGUAAAGGGCUCGUAGGCGGUCCAUCACGUCGGGAGUGAAAAGCUGGGGCUUAACCCCAGUCCUGCUUCCGAUACGGGUGGACUAGAGGUAGGCAGGGGAGAACGGAAUUCCCGGUGUAGAGGUGAAAUUCGUAGAUAUCGGGAGGAACACCAGUGGCGAAGGCGGCGAUGCUGGGUCGAUACUG